CGAAAGUUUAGAUUUUUUUAUUGAUUAGUUUGUACAUAAGAGUCUGAUUUGUACGAUGUAUUUUUUUAAGUGUGUAUAAUGAGUUUAGUAUGAUUAAAACCUUUAAAAUAUAAAAUAUGUACUGAAAUUUUAUACUUAAGACUAGUCCUUUGUUUUAAGUUGUUUUCAAAACAAGAACAAAAAAGAAGGUAUGAUAGCAGCCAUUUUUUGUUAAUUGUAAUUCCUUAAUUUUUUCCUCAGGUUUAUGUAAUGUUUUAAAAGUUUUGGAAAAACAAUAUUGUCACUUUAAUGCGAAAAUGCCAUUAAAGAUUUCAUUCACCCCCCCCCCCCAAAAAAAAAAAACAAAACAAAAAAACAUUUGGCGACGCCUUGUGGCAAAAUAUCUUUUUGGGUAAGGCUGCUCAUUUUAUAAUAUCAAAAUGAAGAUCCCGAAGUUAGAUAAUUUCGCCAGUGUAGAGCAAUCAUACCUUCUCCCUUAUAUCCUUCAAUUGAUUCAGCUAAAUUAUUUGACGUGUGUAUUGACCUGUGUCGAUUCAAUAAAAUAAUAAUGCAACAUAACAUAUUUAUUUGCUUUUAAUUGUACCCCUUGAAGGUCUUGCUGAAAUAAAGAUUCCAAACC
rnacentral:lncRNA from 1 species